rnacentral:tRNA from 1 species
ACCUGGCUGGCUUAGUCAGUAUAGCAUGAGACUUUUGAUCUUGGGGUUGUGAGUUCUAGCCCCAUGUUGGGUG